rnacentral:misc_RNA from 1 species
UUUCAAACUUUCAAACAUUGACCUCCAACACUCAGAGGGAAGCACUCAACGCUCAUAUUCUUUGUAUUUCUACCAGUAAGGCCAUAAUCUAACUGAAUGGAAAGGCAUAUUUCAUUCAAAGUAAGUAUUUCUUGACCAGCAAGGGUUCAGAUGAGAAAACAGAUUUGUCAGACAAAGGAAUAAGACAAAAAAAAUUCCAACAUAACAAGUGAUGAAAACUAAUUAUUGUCUGAUAAAAGGAAUAAUGAAAACUAAUUGCAGGGAGGAAAAAGUGAGUAUCCAGGGAGAUGCAACAAAAGAGACAAAGGCAGGUGUUGCAGUUUUCUAGACAAAUACAAGAAUAUUGCUCCCACAAUUGCAGAUCUACACCCAAGAUUUCUGUUCUAGCUCUCAAAUUGAGAACCACCAAGAGAUUUUCCCCUCAUGUCUGAAAAUCUUGAUUCUUAUUAUAUUAGAUUACAUCAAUAAUGCAUACUAAGAUUCCUUGUUUUCUGCUACAUUACAGGAGGACCCCAAAAAAAAAGUGUAUAAGUUACACUGGAAAUUACCAUCCGUUGGCUGGAAAUAAACAAAAUUCUCACUCAAUUCUUUUCACUGGCACUUCUAUUGAUGGACAAUAACUUGCUGAACAUCCUUUUGGGUCGUGUAGGAAGAGUGCGAAUAGUCUUAAAUUUGGAAGUUCUACCAAGUCCAUUUGAUUGCAGAUCGUUUUCAUCCAAAUCAUCAUCUUCAGCUAAUUUCAUCCUUAAACUAGAAAGCUUCGACUUGGGUGAUUUAAGGCCUGAGACACUCCAUUGAUCCUCUGCAGGAAAGCUAGUAGUGGUGCUUAAUGCUGCUGUAGGCCUUGAUGGAUCUAUUUUAUGGGAAGCUAGAAGUGCCUUGAUGUUGCUAGGCAGCUCAGUGACUUUGUCUCCAGCCAUAGCUGCUCUAGCUUGCUCAAAGAAGAGAACUUGCACUACCACCCUCAGUGGGAGUAGCUCAUUCUGUGCAGCAUGCAUACAGGCUUCAACAGAGAGUUUCUUGCAGUCUAGGGUUUGACAUAACCGUUUUCUUUCACUCUUGUUUAGGGCUGGAUGUGCCUUGAGAUAAAUGUCAAUAGCUCUGUAGAGAUCAUCAUGAUCAAGCCUUGCGAAAUCUGGUAUGGACUCAGCAAGGGCAAUAAACUUUGAAAGAGGCAAAUUAACAUCUCUGGCAAUCUCUUGAAGAUAGCCAUCUACAACCUUUGCUACCUUCAAUUUUGAGCUAUGUGAUGCAGAUGAAGACCUCCUGCUCUCUUGGAACUCCAAAUCAAUAUUCUCUGCUGACCGCGACCUUCUCCUUUCAAAUCCUAACUUGGAUCUUGGAGGGCUAGUGGGUGGACUCUGCCCUUGUAACAUGAACUGCUCCAGUAUGGUCAUUACCAAGUCUACAUCAUACAAAGUAUCACUUGCAUAUGAGAAAGAGGGUAUUAACAAAUCAUUUACUGUUGCUUCCUCUAAUUGAAGUCCCACUCUUCUAGCCAAUUCCAUCUUUGAAGAAGAGGAGGCGUUAAGGAUAUUGGCUGCUUUCAACAGUUUAAGCAGGAAACUGCAAGAUACAGCACCUUUAUCUGCUGGGAGUAAACUUACUAUUGAUUCCAAAAGCAGCCUAUGUUUUGAAUUUAUCUCAUUCACCAAGUCUGAAUCUGAGUCUGAUGCUUCUUCAUUAUUAGAAUUCCUUGGUCUUGAUAUGUUAGGCAGCCAUCGAGCUGCAUAAAUUUUCAAUGCAUCACCUAUGAGAUUAGAAGCUAUCUUUCCACCAGAUUUAAUAGCCACCAUGGCUCUCCAAUACAGGUCUAUGCCCAGUUCUGCCAUAUCUUCAGCCCACCACCCCUUGCUCGCAGGUUUAUGCCUCUGGCUCUCAGUUCCAUUACAGGAUACAUCGUCCCUUGCUCUUCUAGAGUAACUGUGUGACAAACUUAUCUUUGAGGGAUGAGUCAAGACCUUUGAGGCAAUAGCUUCGAUGCAUCUGCUUGUAAUUCCAAGGUCCUCUGACCACAAAGGAAAUUCUUUAGUGCUCUGCAGAGUAACAAUUGAAUCCUUCCACCCAUUAAGUAUACAAGAAUUAAAGAAAACUUCAAGCUUGCAUAUUAGGUUCCCCUUCUCUACAUCCUCUGUCAUCUGCAAAUAUUCAGCAGCACAUCUCGCGGCUACAAUGUUGUAAGCACUGAGAGUGAUUGUAAUACCAUAACAGAACUUUGCACAGAGCUCAAAUGCCUCAAUCCCACCAGGGAAAUCUGGUAGUUGGAUUAUUUGGUGCUGUGAGGAUUCAAGGGAUUCAGAGCAAAGUCUCUGUAGACGCAAGCACUUGGAAAGCAGAGGAAACUGUAAACAAUGAACUUAUAAGGAAUUAGCACAAGAGAAAGCCUCAGAUCAUGGUCAGAGCAAAAACAAGAUUAGUACCCCUCAUCACUUCUUCCCCCCAAAAAUUUUUUCUAAAAACUUACCUUGUGAAGCAAAUAUCUACUUCCUUUCAAUUGAAUUAUGAGAUCACUAGAGACCUCAGAGGAGACAGACCUGCAUUGAGGAAAUAAAUUCCUGUCAUCUUUUCCAGGAAAUACAUGUCAUCUAGCAAAAUCACUGAACUUUUACCUUACAGCUUCAGCAGUGUAGAAGGUGUCCGGUCGGGAUCCAAGUUUCAUAAACUUCAUGACUAAUCCUUAUGAUUUUUCUUCCUGAUUUAUGUGUUCAUCAGUUGUGCUUUAACAUAGUUGAAUCAGAACUUGAUGACCAAUACAAUCUUCCAAUUCAAUACAAGAUAAGCCACAGAAAGUUCCUUCUCCAACAGCUAGCAAGCAAGAAAUGUUCUCCACUCAAGACCACCGGUUUCCUGAAUAAAAAAAGUCAUCCAAUUUAGCUAAAGAACAAACUAUCGCUCAACCCCAUUUAAAGCUGUAAUUUUCACUCAUUUAUAGAAAAAGGGAUAGAAAAUUCAUGGAGAAUAUAAGGAUAUCCAACAAAGAAAGUAAUACCAAGAGAUGUAGUUGUGGGUGUUAAACAAAUAGAAUUAAUAGCAAAAAUUGUCAAAAGUGAAGGAAACCAGAAGAUCAAACACUCCAAAGUGCAUGUCCUACCAAUCAAAUUCUGUACCCCAUAGGAUUUGGACAUGCAAACAAAGAAUCAAAACCACUGCAAACCCAUCAAGAUCAGAUAUACCUCGCCCACCACCAAGUCUCCAAUCAAACACAAGAUAGUGAAAAGAAAAAGAACCAUACCUUCCCUAGAACAAAACACACAUAACUACCUAUAUCCUAAAACCCUUCCUUGAACUAAAAGAGAGAUUACAAAAAAUAAAUACAUAAAUAAUGGUCACAAGAUUACAACCUCAAAUCCAAGAUUCUUGAUAUGCCCAACAAGCAUUAACUUGCCAAUCAUGCAUAGCAAAAACAGGACCUGAACAAAUGUAGGAACUACUCUUUUCUUUCUUUUUUUUCUUUGUAACCUGAAACAAAUAAAUAUGGUUCAAGGCGCAUUUCCAUUUCCAUGACCAGUGCCAGCGUGCAAUUAGAAAGGCGACGCCCACAUGCUUAUCGUGCGCCCACUUGUGUCCUUCCCUCUCAUCAUUGCCACAGCAAUAUUUUUAUUUUUUUAUUUUUUACAGUACAGCCCUCUGGAUUAUUUUAUAUUCCCAACAUCGUACACCUCUCAAAUUCUAUUUAGAAACAGAAAAAAGGGAGUUGCAGUGAAAUUUCUUUUAGAAAAUAAAAAUAAAAUGAGUUUUAC